AUGGGAACGCGAAGAACCUUACCUACUCUUGACAUCCAGAGAACUUAGCAGAGAUGCUUUGGUGCCUUCGGGAACUCUGAGACAGGUGCCGCAUGGCUGUCGUCAGCUCGUGUUGUGAAAUGUUGGGUUAAGUCCCGCAACGAGCGCAACCCUUAUCCUUUGUUGCCAGCGGUUAGGCCGGGAACUCAAAGGAGACUGCCAGUGAUAAACUGGAGGAAGGUGGGGAUGACGUCAAGUCAUCAUGGCCCUUACGAGUAGGGCUACACACGUGCUACAAUGGCGCAUACAAAGAGAAGCGACCUCGCGAGAGCAAGCGGACCUCAUAAAGUGCGUCGUAGUCCGGAUUGGAGUCUGCAACUCGACUCCAUGAAGUCGGAAUCGCUAGUAAUCGUAGAUCAGAAUGCUACGGUGAAUACGUUCCCGGGUCUUGUACACACCG
rnacentral:rRNA from 1 species